UACGUAGGGACCAAGCGUUGUUCGGAUUUACUGGCGUAAAGGGCGCGUAGGCGGCAAUUCAAGUCAGUUGUGAAAUCUCCGAGCUUAACUCGGAACGGUCAACUGAUACUGUUUUGCUAGAGUACAGAAGGGGCAAUCGGAAUUCUUGGUGUAGCGGUGAAAUGCGUAGAUAUCAAGAGGAACACCUGAGGUGAAGACGGGUUGCUGGGCUGAUACUGACGCUGAGGCGCGAAAGCUAGGGUAGCAAACGGG
rnacentral:rRNA from 1 species